UGUUCCCUGGCGUGUUUGCCAGCCAGGCUAUGUCCCUGAGCCGAUGCUUUAAUCCCCGGGGGCGAAUAUGAUGGCGCCGUGUGCAUGUCCGCUGCGGCGGAAAGCCUGAAGCGCCAUUUGCCGCCUCCACCUUGAACCCUUGGGUUCAAGGACCAGGCCGGCAGCGGCACGAUCGGGGAACAC
rnacentral:other from 1 species